GGGCUCCACCUUCUGCUGGAGACAAUAUAAGGACAUUGGAAGAAGGGAGUCUAGCUCGAGCUCUUGCUCCUUCGCCUGCUUGCUGCGUGAGACUGAGUAACUGCUAGAUCCUUGGACUUCCAUUCACAGCUGCGACUGAACCAUUGUUGGGAAUUGGGCUGCCGACUGAAGCCUGCCCAGAUGUGCCCAGAUGUGAGCCCAUUUGCUCCACUGACUCCAUAGGGGAAAGCCUCUGUCUCCAUUUGGAAUCACCACUGAGAGCCAUAGAUGCUGGUGCCCACCUACUUUCCCAGCACACGGAUUGCUAAAGCAUGAACUGUAGUUUUGUACGUAGAUUCAUAUAUUUGAACAAUUGUCCCAGUUGAUGGAAAUGUUUCAGAAGGAUAUAGCAGGUGUAGCCUUGAUGGAGAAGGAUCCAGUGGGGAACCCUCAAGAUGCUCUGAUGACCAGCAGGAGCCUGAUUUCCUAGGGACUAGAGGCUGCUUAUUUCUUCUCCUGCCCCUGCUAACUGUGCCAGGUGCCUGCUGUGUGUGGAUAAAAGGGCCCCACACACCACAGAUAUCUCUCCCCCUUCCUCUCCCCUUCUCCUCCUCUGCUCUCAUUUCUCUCAACCUUACCUCCUGUGUGUUUCCAUGUCUCUCUCUGCCUGUCUGCCCUUUUCCCUCCUUACUGUUUCAACUCUGAGGCACCUUUCACUCUCCUCUCCCAAAUAAACCU
rnacentral:lncRNA from 1 species